rnacentral:rRNA from 1 species
GCUAAAUGCGGGCCAGGAGCCGAGGUAAGAAGUAGGGGGCAAGCGUUGUCCGGAAUUAUUGGGCGUAAAGCGCGCGCAGGCGGUCCUUUAAGUCUGAUGUGAAAGCCCACGGCUCAACCGUGGAGGGUCAUUGGAAACUGGGGGACUUGAGUGCAGAAGAGGAAAGCGGAAUUCCACGUGUAGCGGUGAAAUGCGUAGAGAUGUGGAGGAACACCAGUGGCGAAGGCGGCUUUCUGGUCUGUAACUGACGCUGAGGCGCGAAAGCGUGGGGAGCAAACAGGAUUAGAUACCCGGGUAGUC